GACGAACGCUGGCGGCGUGCUUAACACAUGCAAGUCGAACGGAAAGGCCCUGCUUUUGUGGGGUGCUCGAGUGGCGAACGGGUGAGUAACACGUGAGUAACCUGCCCUUGACUUUGGGAUAACUUCAGGAAACUGGGGCUAAUACCGGAUAGGAGCUCCUGCUGCAUGGUGGGGGUUGGAAAGUUUCGGCGGUUGGGGAUGGACUCGCGGCUUAUCAGCUUGUUGGUGGGGUAGUGGCUUACCAAGGCUUUGACGGGUAGCCGGCCUGAGAGGGUGACCGGCCACAUUGGGACUGAGAUGAGGCCCGGACUACUACGGGAGGCAGCAGUGGGGAAUAGUGCACAAUGGGCGGAAGCCUGAUGCAGCAACGCCGCGUGCGGGAUGACGGCCUUCGGUUUGUAAACCGCUUUCGCCUGUGACGAAGCGUGAGUGACGGUAAUGGGUAAAGAAGCACCGGCUAACUACGUG
rnacentral:rRNA from 1 species